CGCCCUUUGAAGACUAGUAUAAGGGGUUGGGCCUGCCCGGUGGUUAGCUAAACGGCCGCAAUGAGUAGUUGUGCUAAGGUAGCGUAGUAAGUUGCCCUUUAAAUGGGGGAAGGAAUGAAUGGCUUGACGUAGGAGAUUCUGUCUCUUUUUUGAUUAGUGAACUUUUUUUUUCAGUGAAAAGGCUGAAAUUACAUAAUUAGACGAGAAGACCCUGUCGAGCUUGAUUAAGUGUAGAAUUUGCUUUUAUGUGGAAGUUUAGUUGGGGCAACUGAGGAGCAUGUGAAGACUCCUUCAAUCAUAUUUUAGAUCCAGAACUUCUGAUUAAGAGAAAAAGCUACCGCAGGGAUAACAGCGUUAUCUUUUCUAAGAGAACAAAUUGAAGGAAAGGUUUGCGACCUCGAUGUUGAAUUAAAGUUUCCUCAGGGCGUAGAGGCUCUUAGGGUAAUAUUGUUCGUCUUUUGAAACUUUACA
rnacentral:rRNA from 1 species